ensembl:lncRNA
CUUCUGCCCAAUGGGACCCUGACCAAUUGCCUUCUGGGGACCUCCCAGUUUUCUCGGUGUUGAGGUGUAAAACAUGGUAUUUUGACAUGUGUAAAUGAAUACUACAAUGAAGAAAAGCUGCCUAUCCUUCUAACAGGAGUUGAUUUUCAUCCUUCAGCCUGUCUCACAGAGUAAGAAGUUUACAGGAGCUCCAACCUGACCAACUGCCAUGUCCAUUUCAAAGACAAGAGUAAGGAAAGAAGCCAAGGCAAAUGAGCUUACACAGCCAUUGUAGCUUCAUCUAAGCUGUCUUCCCAAAGUCAAGACAAUAUCUCUUAUUCCUAAUUGGCCUGAAUUUCUCUAGUCAUAUUUUGCUAAGAGACAGAUCAGAAAUGACAACCAUUUGUUGUGGUAUUGCUAACCUGAAUAAAACUUAGUCUUUGUGCUUAACUGCAAGGGAAGAAAGAAAAUUGAGAGGGACAGCCAUUAUUUUUUCUCUAUUCUAAAUUCAAAGUCAAAAAGAAAAAUUAUGAGCUAUUAUCAGGUGUAUUUUUUUACUUCAUAAAUCAUCACUUUUCUCUAGGUGUUUGUUCAUUCCUAGGUGGAAAAAAGAAGUAUUGGUUGAUUGGACAAAGACUUCUCUCUUGAUUAAAUGAAGGUGUGUAAAGGAGAGGGAGAAAAAUUUCUGGUUAAGGAGAAAUGUGUUUCAAAGAAAAGAAAAGGAUGAGAUCCCAGCUGUUGACUCUGUGUUAGUUCACGUGCCACUGAAGUUUUGUUCAUAAAGUCUUUUCCUACACCAAUACCACAGCGAUAUAUGCACAUCCAUGUUUAUAGUGGCACAGUUUGUAAUAGCUAAAUCUUGUAAACAGCCCAAAUGCCCAUCACCUGGUGAGUGGAUAAAGA